UUAAUAUUAUAUCAUUGAAUACCAAACAGGUUCAUCAAGCACUUGAAGACGUAAGCAGCUCACCAUUAACUUGCAUUUGUUUUUUGACUGAAACUCAAGUUCUGUGUUGUAAUGCACUUAGUCAAAUUAAGCUUUGGGAUUUGAGAGUGGAUAAAAGUGAUAUAACUGCCAAUAUCAAUAACUUUACUCAGAAUCAAGUGCCAGUCACGUGUAUUGCUCAACAUCCUAGCCAAAAACAUUUUAUUUUUACUGGAUCAGAAGAAGGUGAUGUUGGUGUCUGGGAUAUGAGA